rnacentral:rRNA from 1 species
GUGGGGAAUAUUGGACAAUGGGGGGAACCCUGAUCCAGCCAUGCCGCGUGUGUGAAGAAGGCCUUUUGGUUGUAAAGCACUUUAAGCGAGGAGGAGGCUACCGAGAUUAAUACUCUUGGAUAGUGGACGUUACUCGCAGAAUAAGCACCGGCUAACUCUGUGCCAGCAGCCGCGGUAAUACAGAGGGUGCGAGCGUUAAUCGGAUUUACUGGGCUUAAAGCGCGCGUAGGUGGCCAAUUAAGUCAAAUGUGAAAUCCCCGAGCUUAACUUGGGAAUUGCAUUCGAUACUGGUUGGCUAGAGUAUGGGAGAGGAUGGUAGAAUUCCAGGUGUAGCGGUGAAAUGCGUAGAGAUCUGGAGGAAUACCGAUGGCGAAGGCAGCCAUCUGGCCUAAUACUGACACUGAGGUGCGAAAGCAUGGGGAGCAAACAGGAUUAGAAACCCCUGUAGUCC